rnacentral:sRNA from 1 species
GACUUCAUUGACUUAACUAGAGAGACCAGACCAAGGACAAAAGAUCGCAGUGGACUGUGUGUGAUUGACCUGACAAGAGCUGAGGGAGAAAACAGACCUAUUGCCACUCUUGACUUAACUUUAGAACCUGUCACUCCUUCCCAGAAGGAGCCAACCAGUCUUCAGACAUGUGCCAGCCUCUCUGGCAAAGCGGUGAUGGAAGGGCAGGUGGACAGAAGCUCUCAGCCUACAGCACGGAGAAUCAUUAACAGUGAUCCUGUAGAUUUGGACCUAGUGGAAGAAAACACCUUUGUAGGUCCCCCACCCACUACAUCCAUCAGUGGAGGCUCUGUUUAUCCAACAGAGCCUAAUUGUAGCUCAGCCACAUUCACAGGUAACCUCAGCUUCUUGGCAAGCCUACAGCUGUCUUCAGAUGUUAGCUCCCUCUCCCCAACAAGCAAUAAUAGUAGCAGCAGCAGCAGCAGCAAUCAAAAAGCACCCUUGCCAUGCCCACAGCAAGAUGUGUCUCGCCCACCACAAGCCUUGCCGUGCCCCCUGCGAGCUUUGCCAUGCC